AUUUGCAGCUUCGUGCGGUCAGCACAUAUGUAAUAGCCACUUCAAACACCAGACUGCUGUGUGUGUAUAGUAUAAUAAUGUGAACCUGCAAUAUAUUUACAUGAACCCUUGUGUGUGUUUUGACUUAUAAGUUCAACUACUGACCUGGAUCGUACUGCAUGUUGAGCUAACAACAUUUUUCUGCUCCAAAGUGGAGACUUUUAAGAUUAUUAAUUUUCACUACCUUCUGGCCUGCAACUCAAAGGAGAUUCACCUUAACUCUGUAAGAGCACACAGUAUCUGUUUCAUCUGAGCAAUAAAACCGGCACACCCCAAACUCCAAAGACCUAGACACAGAUAAAAAGUGCCCACAAGCUUCAUGACCCUAAGAGGAAAUAUCUUGAACGCAAUUUACAUAAUAAAUAGCAUGUGAUUCCAUGAAACUGACCUAGGAACAUAACAAAGAUGAACAAACAUUUAUUCUUCUUUUGAAGGCCAAUACACUCCCCUGAACUCAGACUCUGCAUGGAGUUCCAGUGGAAGGGAAAAACACGAAGGCUGCCUCUAAAAGACUCCACGCUUGUAGGGUCAAUAAGAAAGGAACCUGAUGGGUGGAUGCAGUGUGAAAUAUUGUGGAAGCUCUCAAUGCCCAUACACGAGCACCCGCAUGAUUUAUAUUGAUAUGAUUGUUUGGGUUACAAGUCAAGGUUGUUGGGAAACAACCGCAAGAGAUAUACAGGAGGUUUAAGAUAAAGAUAAGAAAGAUCUAAGCUAAUCUCUAGUUACAAUAACAGCCAAUACAUAUGGCGCAUAACCUCCUGAACAUAUAUUCUUAACACCCUCCCAUAAUCAGAACUUCACCAAGUUAAGAUUACGAUUAAAUUCUUCAAACGCCCUCGUGGGAAGUGCUUUAGUAAAACCAUCCGCAACUUGAUCCUUUGAGUGAACAAACCGUAUCUCUAGCUCUUUGCUUGCAACUCUUUCCCUCAUAAAAUGAUAAUCAAUUUCAAUAUGUUUGGUCCUUGCAUGAAAAACAGGGUUAGCUAAGAGAUACGUAGCACCAAGGUUAUCACACCAAAGACAAGGGGUUUGAGAAUUGUAUAUGCCAAGUUCCUUAAGCAUGGAUUUAACCCAUAUGAUCUCUGCCGUUGCAUUAGCCAAAGCUUUGUAUUCUGCUUCAGUACUUGACCUGGAUGCCGUGGCUUGCUUCUUUGCACACCAUGAGUCGUGGAAUUGUCACGGCAGAUGUCCUCAAGCUAGGACUUAGUCGUGGAGCCAUCGCCGCUAGGAAGCUUGAAGGGGUUAACGGGACACGGAACACGAGGGUUUAUACUGGUUCGGCCCCUUACGAUGAAGGUAAAAGCCUACGUCCAGUUGAUGUGGUAUUGAUUAGGGUUUCGAUGACCAGGGAGCUUAACUGCUAUGCCUGGCUCUCGAUGAGAUCUUUCUUGUCCCUAAACCGCUGCCGGGUCGUCCCUUUAUAUAGAGAGGUUGACGCCCAGCGGCUCUCAGAGUCCCAGCCGGCUCGGACUCUCAACUAUUCUUGCCUUACACUACAAGUCUCGCCAUACGGCGGUUUAUCACUACGGGCCUUAAGCCAUCCCCGGGUCUUAAGCCCAUCUUUGGCCCACCGUCUUCAGGCUUAGCGCCAGGCUUCAAGUGAUGACCCUUAUGAGUAACCCGGCCCCUUCUGGCGGGUGACUCUAAGGUUUAUAUCCUCAACAUUAGGCCCCAGAUUGAUUUGAGCCGGCUCAUGUCAAUCUUCAAUUCUUUCGACAGAAAAUCUCCGGCUUACAAUUGUGUGAAGGCCAUAACCCGGCGUGACGUCAUCCUCUGGACUCCGGGUAAUCCGCCGUGACGUCAUCUUCCAUUAAGUCCAUUUUUUACUCCACCAGAUCCGCAACGGAUCUUAUCUUUACUGCCAUCCCGAAAAUCGAGGCGCCUCUCGGUCGAGAUAACCGCGCCGUGGCCUCCUCGUUUCUCGCGCCCACUUAUGAGACUGGCCUUAUAAAUAGCCCGACCCUCGGGUCUUUCUCAUUCUCCCUCUUCUGUCGUCUCCUUCCUCUCACUGCUCCCGUGCUGCUCGAGCUCCGCCGCCGCCGCCGCCGCAACAGAGCUCCGCGUGCUCGUCAUCCUUGGCCGCUGCAUCACCCUGAACCGUCCAGAGAACCGCGGCGAACCCCUGCAUCCGUAAGUUCCUUCCUCCUCGUAGGAUAGAUCUGCGUUAAGCUCCUGCUGUUCUUCCCGUGUUCUUCGCCGUCGUUCGCGAGUUCUUGGUAGUUUUUAUUUUUACUGCCUUUCUUGAUCUCUAUCUGCAUAGGACGGCCGCGGCAGUGGUUUCACACCCAUUCCAAUGUUCAUAGAUCCCUUUCUACUGCACAGAAGUCCCAUUUGAACCUGCGAACUUUCUCCUGCUUCUGUUUUAGGUCUAGAAAUUUUCUUUUUCAGCCGACCAUUUUGAUCCAAAUUAUUUACUGCAAUGUGUGAAACCUAUUUUCACCACACUUAGUAAAAAACUGCACUCGUUGAGUCAUGGCGGUUUACAUUUCCGGUUUAAAGAAACCACGCGCCGUAGAACCUUCCGGCUCAAAGGAAGCCAUGCGCCGUAAAAUUUUCCGGCUCACUUACAACAAGGUUGUAGACGAUUUGAAUUACUCCCAAGCACACCAGCGGCUUAGAUAACCCGAUGCACUUAGAUAUAUGUCAUUAGGCCCCUCCAUAAGCCGCCACUUUAAACACUGAACUGUAAAUUUCCUCCGGCUUACAAUUAAACCGGACAUUUUACUUUUAUCAUAGGCGUCCGACUUUCACCAUGCCUCCCAAAGCUCCCAUCACAUGCAAUUGGAUGAGGUCCAACGUCACCGAUGAGACUUUAACAGAUUUCAUGAAGUCGGGUUACCUGCCUAAGAAGGACGUCAUGUCCUACCGUGCCCCCGACCCAUCAGAGGAGAGACCACAGCCAAGGGACGGGGAGGUGGUCAUUUUUGCGGAUCACAUGAGCCGGGGCUUCGCACCGCCCGGCUCAAAGUUCUUUAGAGACGUGCUGAAUUUCUUUGACCUGCGGCCACAAGACAUAGGACCCAAUUCUGUGUCCAAUAUAUGCAACUUCCAAGUGUUCUGCGAAGUCUACCUUGGAGAGGAGCCCAGCCUGCUGCUCUUCAGAGAGCUCUUCUACCUGAACCGUCAGAACGUGUGCGCCAACGGGCCAAGCUUGGAACUUGGCGGCAUCUCCAUUCAGCGACGGAGAGACUGCCUUUUCCCUUACGCCGAGCCGCCGAGUCACCCAAAGGAUUGGAACCAGACGUGGUUCUAUUGCCAAGACACGUCGCCGGCUGACGAGAGCCCGCUGCCCGGCUUUCGCCCUUCACGUCUGGAACCAACUCACCCUCUGUCUGACAAGUUAACCCAGGUGGAGCGCCAACCUCUGCUCCCCACCAUCAACAAGAUCAAGGCUCUCCUGGGCAAUGGUCUCAACGGAAUUGAUCUGGUCCGGGUCUGGAUCUCGUGGCGGGUGAUCCCCCUGAGCCGCCGCCCCGGCUUAAUGUGUGAAUACACAGGCCGGAAAGAUGACCCCCUGCGACACAGCCGCAACGAUCUUCCUGAAGACGUUGCUGAAGACAUGACCAAGGCUCUUUUAAAUGAGAGCUUGGCAGACUGCGGGAGGACCGGCUUAAGCCCCUUCUGCAAGACCAACCCGACCCCAGCGGUAGGCCGCUGAUCUGAACAUCUUAUUUUCUUCUGUAUAUAGCUUUCAUCCGAACCUUAAGAACUCGUCAUUGUAUUUUUCAGGCGGAUGACAAAUUCUGGAAGGUCAAAUACGACCAUGAGGCGGCCAAGAAGGCCAGGAAGGCGAAGAAAGCCGCUAAGAGAGCCGCUCCCCGCAAGAAGGGAAGUAGGCCUACUGCUUCAGAGCUGCUGCAACUAAGCGACAGCUCCGAGUCAGAGGUAACCCCUGAACCUGUAAGCUCUUGUUGUAUUUGUUGUUUAUUUUUGUCCACCUUAUCAAUACUGUUCAUCAACAGGAUGACACCGGCGCAAGUAACCCGGUGGUUGAAGAGGUAAUGUCACUUUCCUCCGACUCGGAGCCCUUGCCAAGGCUGAAAGUCCGAAGGGUAACCCGGAAAGUAAGAUUUUCACAUCCUUUAGCUUAUCAAGAUCCUCAAUUUCUUUUGAAGCGACAGACUCAUGAGAGCCGGCGGCACACCCGGACCAACAAGGACGCUGACCUCUCCUCCGGUUUACCUGACGCGUCGAGGAAACGCCGGACCGAGGUUAUCUCCCACUUGUACCCUUUUCAUCCUUUGGCGGGUGUUAUACGUCAACCGCUCAAUUCCUCCGAUUCAAACUAUCAGGAAACCUCACCCUCUUUCGGUGACUCGAUGCAAUCAAACCUGCCGGCCUUCAAGACCGUACCCGGGUAAUGAUAAUCAUCUCUUGUUGUGCGUAUCUUUACUCAUACUUUUGUACUAACCUUUUUGUCCUUUCAGUGCCCAGGCAAAGCUCAGCAAGCGGGCGAAGAAGAGCAAGCCGGUCGAAGAGCCGGACUUGCCUGAACCGGAGGUAGCAGCUCAAGAACCGCCAGUUGCCUCCACUCCCGAAGCCGCCGCUCCAACCAACAAGGCAACUGCAGAAGCUUCUGCUAACCCGGAGACCUCCAGCUCGGCUCAGCCAGUCAAUGACCCGGACGGAGUUUGUUGAGCCGGGGAGACCUACUGCACUGGCCAAGUGCUCCGCCAAGGAGGAGUUGCUACAGCACCGCCGGGUUAAUCUGGACCUCACCGACUACGCCAAUCUGAACAUCGGAGAGAUCGUCUCCGGCUAUGUCAACCAAGUGUACAAGAGCCGGGAUGUAGAGAUCGGCAUGGUGAACCAGAUUCAGCAGAAGUCUGAGGUACUACUCCUCUUUCUCCUUGCUUACUGCAUAGUUAUCUUGUUAUUCUUACCAUACUCUAGCCCCCAAGUCUACGACUUAUGAUAGAAUAUGUUGUAGACUUAAGUUCCGACUUACUCGCUUGAACCGGCAAUUUGUAAAUAGAAACGUUUGAUAUGCAUUAGCCCCCAAGUGCCAAGUGUCUUUGCUUGGAAAGUGCUUGGGACUUUAAAAUUGCAUAAUAACUGUUCAUCCUAUAACCCGGAAAUUAUGCAGGCUGCUUGCAAGAAGUUUGAAGCUGACAUCUCCGAUCUGAAGACCCGCCUGAGGACGCAAGAAACUGAGACCCGGAAGGCCAAUGCCAAAUUUGUGUCCAGUAUUGCUGCGCAAGAAAAGCUGAAGACGGACUUUGAUGCUGAACGGAAAGCUUGGGCCGAAGAAAAGGCUACUCUGGUGAACCGGGCCGAACAGGCGGAGAAGGCUCUGACAGAGAAGACCGCCGAACUCUCCGGCUUAAAGCGCCAAGUGUCCCAGAUGGUUGCCGCAAUCUUCGGUAAGUCAUUUCACCGGCUUUCAUCAAGUUUAUAAUCUUUAUAUCUCAUAACUCAUCCUUGUCGGCGGCUUAUCUUAUUCUGUUAAACAGGUCCCAGAAGCGCCAACCUCAACCAAAGUGUGGUAACCAAGUUGAAAGCUGUGUACACCCUGGUGGAGCAACUCUACACCGGGUCACAGCGUGCUUUGGCUGUGGUGGCCCUAUCCAAUGAGGUGCCGAAUCACCUGGCGGAAGUUCUUCGCCGGCUCGCCGUUCUUCCUCAACGUGUCCAAGAGCUGUGACGGGCCUCUGCAAGAGCCGGAGCCAUAGCUGCUCUGAGCCGGGCCAAGGCGUUCCUUCCAAAACUAGACCCGGCGGACAUCGCUCUGGGCUACCCUAGUUUGAAGGAAGACGGCACCCCCUUCGACCAAAGGGACUUUGCAGCCUACGUGAAGAUCGUACGCCCGGUGGCCACUCUGAUUGGCAAUGAUACGGAUCUGACUAAGUACUAGCCGGGUUACGAUUCAGAGAAUCAGAGGAUCCCCACUCCGCAUUAUGAAGCCAUCAGCUUAGUCCCGCCGACUCGGAAGCACACCUUUGCCCCGGAGAUUGACCCGGAUGGGUUAAUUGACGAGGAAGCUCAAUUUGAAGCUUUGAGCGGCAUUAACUGGAAGUCAUCAACUUUCCAGGUCUUGGGAACAGCCGGAGGAGCGGAGAGGGAUGAGCCAGAAACUUCAACCCAGCAAGCAUCGUAACUCUGCAGGCGGCUUAUUAAACAAUGCUUCACCCUUUUGGACUCGAUGAGUCUUGUAAUAGAGUAGGACCAACACUUUAACUUUGCCGUGCCAUCGUGCACGCGUUGAAUGCUGAAUUCCAUUGAAGUUGUCUCCUUUAUACUUCUCCGGGUCAUAAUUGAUCCUUCAUUUUCCUUAAGCUCAAAUAGUUGCCUUUAACUAUCCUGCCUAGAAGGACAAAUCACAAGUCUCUAGGCGGCUUACCGCACUGAGAAUCAUAGUUUUAGACAUAUAACCCGAAAUAUGAAUCAAAAAAGACUGGUCCUCAAUUAUGUCCUUGAUGUACCCGUAAUAACACACUUACCGGCCUGCAAGCACACUUCCGGCUUAUAUAACCCGGGUAAUAAGGUUGGUACCUCAAUUCCGGUUUACCAGUCUUAAUAACACCGAGUGUAUUCGACUAGUACUAUAAAUCAAAGUUAAGCCGGCAAAGUGAGACCCGCCAUGCACACUUGAAAGAAUCAGAAGAACUCGCUAUAAAUCAGAAAACUUAGGGGCUUCCGGUUCGAAUACGACCAGAGACCCGUCCCAAAGGGGUUAUGCUAGGAUUCGAAUGCGAUCAUAUAGCCCCCAGUGGGUGUGGCGAUGCCAAUCAAGAGGGUACCGACAGCUAUGUUCUCUUUGGUUCGAAUACGACCCAUGUUUGAACAGGAAGCCCCCAAAUGACCUUAAGAAUUGUUUAACGACGUUGAUUCGAAUACGAUCCACGUCGGUUCCCAAAGAGGUUAAACUAUGAUUCAAAUAUGAUCAAAGAAAACUCCCCAAUGAGCUCAGCACUUUGCCAAUCAAAUGGGUAUCGACAGCUAUGUUCUCUUUGGUUCGAAUACGACCUAUGUUUGAACAGGAAGCCCCCAAGUGACUAUAUUGUGUAUGGCUAGAUUCGAAUACGAUCAUAAGCCGGAUCCUCCUUCAAGUUAUCACAUGAUCUUGUAAUGAAAACAACACAUUCAUCUUUGGAGGAGGAAAGAGGACAGAGGCCCUGCUUUAUUGCUUAUCAGAAUAUAUACAUGGCUUAGAGAAAUAUGUACAUUAUGAGAGCCGGUGGCUCAAGUGUAAUAAGGCCGAAGCUGAGCUAUGUUCCACGGCCGACGGGUCUCUUCCUCCGACUUACGUGAAUCUUUGUGCUCCCGAACGUCAAUGAGGUAAUAUGACCCGUUGUGCAAAUUCUUGCUGACCACAAAGGGCCCUUCCCAAGGCGGGGAUAGCUUAUGCGCAUCUGUUUGAUCUUGGAUGAGCCGGAGCACCAGAUCGCCUUCCUGGAAGACCCGGGAUUUAACCCGGCGACUAUGAUAACGGCGCAGGUCCUGUUGGUAAAUCGCUGAGCGAGCUGCUGCCACAUCACGCUGUUCGUCCAACAAGUCAAGAGCAUCUUGGCGCGCCUGUUCAUUAUCCACCUCAACAUAAGCCGCCACUCGAGGCGAAUCAUGACGGAUGUCACUGGGGAGGACUGCUUCCGCUCCAUAAACCAUGAAGAAAGGUGUGAAACCUGUAGACCUGUUAGGAGUAGUGUUGAUGCUCCACAACACGGAGGGUAACUCCUCCACCCAACAACCCGGCGUCCGUUGUAAAGGGACCAAAAGCCGGGGUUUGAUGCCUUUCAGAAUCUCCUGAUUAGCCCUCUCAGCUUGACCAUUGGACUGAGGGUGAGCCACUGAUGAAACAUCAAGUCUAAUAUGCUCUCGUUGACAAAACUCCUCCAUGGCGCCCUUAGACAGAUUGGUACCAUUGUCAGUUAUAAUGCUGUGUGGAAAGCCGAAGCAAAAUAUCACCCUUUUCAUGAACUGAACUGCUGUGGCCGCAUCACACUUGCUAACUGGCUCCGCUUCAACCCACUUGGUAAAUUUGUCAACUGCCACCAAGAGGUGGGUCUUCUUAUCCUUGGACCUUUUAAAAGGCCCAACCAUAUCAAGCCCCCAGACCGCAAAGGGCCAAGUAAUUGGGAUCAUCCUCAGCUCCUGAGCUGGCACAUGAGCCCGUCGCGAGAACCUUUGGCAACCAUCACAUUUACUGACCAAGUCCUCCGCAUCAGCAUGAGCCGUCAGCCAAUAAAAACCAUGACGAAAAGCCUUGGCCACAAGAGACUUUGAGCUGGCGUGAUGGCCACAAUCCCCUUCAUGAAUCUCACGCAAGAUAUCUUGACCUUCCUCAGGGGAGACACAAUGCUGGAACGCUCCCGUAACACUGCGGCGAUGCAACUCACCAUUGAUAACAAUCAUUGACUUAGACCGCCGGGUUAUUUGCCUGGCCAAAGUUUCAUCCUCAGGCAAAUCUCCCCGGGUCAUGUAAGCCAGAUAGGGCAUUGUCCAGUCCGGUAUGAUGUGGAGAGCCGCCACCAGUCGUGCCUCCGGGUCAGGGACAGCCAAGUCUUCCUCUGUAGGCAACUUAACAGAAGGGUUAUGCAGGACGACCAGGAAAAUAUUAGGCGGCACCAGUUUUCGCUGAGAGCCCAGCCGGCUUAAAGCAUCAGCCGCCUCGUUCUUCCUGCGAUCGAUGUGCUCUACUUGGUAACCCUGAAAGUGCCCAGCAAUGGCAUCAACUUCGCGGCUAUAAGCCGCCAUGAGAGGGUCCUUGGAGUCCCACUUUCCUGAUACUUGUUGAGCCACCAAGUCUGAGUCGCCGAAGCACCUUACCCGGCUCAAGCUCAUCUCCUUAGCCAUCCGAAGACCGUGGAGCAAGGCCUCGUACUCAGCUGCGUUGUUGGUACAAGGAAACAUCAAUUGUAACACAUAAUGGAACUUAUCACCCUUAGGGGAAGCCAAUACGACUCCAGCCCCCGAGCCCUCCAACUGCCUGGACCCAUCAAAGUGAAUAGUCCAAUAUGUGUUAUCCGGCUUUUGUUCGGGCACUUGUAGCUCUGUCCAAUCAUUGAUGAAAUCCACCAAAGCCUGAGAUUUAACAGCAGUGCGUGGCACAUACUUCAGACCAUGAGGUCCGAGCUCUAUAGCCCACUUAGUCACUCUCCCUGUGGCCUCCCUGUUCUGAAUGAUAUCCCCAAGGGGGGCAGAACUGACCACAGUGAUGGGGUGACCCUGGAAAUAAUGCUUAAGCUUCCGGCUUGCCAUGAACACACCAUAAACAAGCUUCUACCAAUGCGGAUACCGCUGCUUGGACUCAAUGAGUACUUCGCCGACAUAAUAAACCGGCCGCUGAACCGGAUGCUCCUUACCCUCUUCCUUGCGCUCCACCACCACGGCCACACUGACGGCUCGUGCAUUAGCAGCCACAUACAGCAAUAAAGGCUCCUUGUCAACCGGAGCAGCAAGGACUGGGGGCUCGGCCAGCUGUUUCUUCAAAUCCUCAAAAGCAGUAUUAGCUGCAUCAUUCCAGACAAAGUCAUCAGUUUUCUUCAUCAACUGAUAUAAUGGCAUAGCCUUCUCCCCCAAACGGCUUAUAAAACGGCUUAAAGCAGCAAUGCGACCCGCCAGGCGCUGGACGUCGUUUAUACACGCCGGCUUAGCCAGGGAGGUGAUGGCCUUGAUCUUCUUCGGGUUAGCUUCAAUGCCUCUGUCAGAAACCAAGAAACCCAAGAGUUUGCCUGCAGGAACACCAAAAACACACUUGGCCGGGUUAAGCGUCAUCUUGUAGACCUGGAGAUUAUCAAAGGUUUCCCUCAGAUCAUCUAUCAGGGUUUCCUUCUUCCUGGAUUUAACCACAAUAUCAUCCACAUAAGCAUGAACAUUGCGCCCAAUCUGGUUAUGAAGACAGUUCUGCACACAACGCUGAUAAGUCGCCUGUGCACUCUUGAGUCCAAAGGGCAUGGACACAUAGCAGAAGGCUCCAAAGGGAGUGAUGAACGCCGUCUUCUCCUGGUCCUUAACUGCCAUUUUAAUCUGAUGAUAUCCGGAAUAAGCAUCCAAGAAACUUAAGCGCUCACAACCUGCCGUAGCAUCAAUAAUUUGAUCAAUACGGGGAAGGGCAAAAGGAUCAGCCGGACACGCCUUGUUUAAGUCCAUGUAGUCCACACACAUCCGCCAAGUGCCGUUCUUCUUGAGUACGAGCACCGGGUUAGCUAACCACUCUGGGUGAAAAACUUCAACAAUAAAUCCGGCCGCCAAGAGCCGGGCCACCUCUUCACCAAUAGCUUUCCGUCUUUCUUCAUUAAACCGCCGAAGGAAUUGCCUGACCGGCUUAAACUUCGGAUCAACAUUGAGAGUGUGCUCAGCGAGUUCUCUAGGUACACCUGGCAUGUCAGAAGGUUUCCAUGCAAAAAUGUCCCUAUUCUCACGGAUGAACUCGAUGAGCGCGCUUUCCUAUUUUGGAUCCAGAUUGGCACUGAUGCUAAACUGCUGGGAUGAAUUACCUGGAACGAAGUCAACAAGUUUAGUCUCCUCAGCCGACUUAAAUUUCAUUGCCGGCUCAUGCUCCGUAGUUGGCUUUUUCAGAGAGGUCAUAUCUGUUGGGUCAACGUUGUCUUUGUAGAAUUUUAACUCCUCUGUUGCACAAACAGAUUCUGCAUAAGCUGCAUCGCCUUCCUCACACUCCAAGGCUACCUUCCGACUGCCAUGAACCAUAAUGGUCCCAUUGAGACCCGGCAUCUUGAGCUGCAGAUAUACGUAACAUGGCCGUGCCAUGAACUUGGCGUAAGCCGGCCGCCCAAAUAUGGCAUGAUACGGGCUACUUAUCUUGACCACCUCAAAGGUCAAUUUUUCCACCCUGUAGUUGUGCUCGUCUCCAAAGGCCACGUCCAACUCGAUCUUGCCGACUGGAUAAGCCGACUUACCAGGUACCACACCAUGGAAAAUAGUGUUUAACUGGCUGAGGUUCUUAUCAAUCAAUCCCAUACGACGGAAAGUCUCAUAAUAGAGGAUGUUGAUGCUGCUGCCUCCAUCCAUGAGCACCUUAGUGAACUUAUAUCCUCCCACCUGAGGAGCCACUACCAAGGCCAAGUUACCCGGAUUAUCCACCCGGGGAGGGUGAUCCUCCCUACUCCAUACUAUAGGCUGCUCAGACCACCGUAAAUAUCGUGGAACCGCCGGCUCAACAGCAUUUAUAGCCCUCUUAUGAAGCUUCUGAUCUCGCUUACACAGACUGGUGGUAAAUACAUGAUACUGUCCACCGCUAAGCUGCUUUGGAUUGCUCUGAUAACCCCCCUGCUGCUGUUGAUGACCCUGGCCAGACUGUUGAUUAAAGCCCCCUUGACCGCUCUGAGGAUUGGAAUUUGAGCCGCCGCCCGGGCCAUGAAAGCCGCCGGCGCCUGAACCGCCGCCCGGGCCACUGUUGCCGUUAAAAGCGUUGGAAUUCUUAAAGGCCUUCAUGAUUACACAAUCCUUCCACAGAUGGGUAGCUGGCUUCUCUCUAGAGCCAUGCCUCGGACAGGGCUCAUUCAACAGCUGUUCCAGCGUCGGGCCUGACCCGCCGGCUCGGGGAGGGGGCCUCCCCUUGCGUCUCUGGCUACUGCCCUGUGAGCUGGCGUUGGCCACGAACUCUAGGCUGCCGUCGGCUUUACGCUUGCCACCUCCUUGGUUCCCCGGGUUAUGCUGAGGACCCUUGCCAUUGCCGUUCUUCUUUCUCUUCCAUGUCCUUUCGUCGUCCGAAGCGGGGUCCUUGGUACCAUCAGAAUCGGCGUACUUGACGAGAGCCGCCAUCAGCGUACCCAUAUCAUUGCAGUCGCGCUUAAGCCGCCCGAGUUUCAUCUUCAGGGGCAGAAAACGACAAUUUUGCUCCAACAUCAAGACUGCAGAGCCGGCAUCCAUCUUAUCCGAUGAAUGUAUGAUCUCUUUGACCCGGCGAACCCAAUGUGUCGUAGACUCACCCUCCUGCUGUAUACAGUUAGUCAAAUCCACUAUUGACAUAGACUGCCUACAGGUGUCUUUGAAGUUUUGUAUGAACCGGGCCUUCAGCUCAGCCCAAGAUCCAAUGGAAUUUGGCGGUGGCCCUUUCAACCAAGUGCGGGCAGUCCCAUCUAACAUCAUGGUGAAGUACUUGGCCAUUGCCACUUCACUGACUUCCAGCAGUUCCAUGGCCAUCUCGUAACUCUCGAUCCAGGCUACGGGUUGUAAGUCAGCCGUAUAAUUAGGCACCUUCCUAGGGCCUUUGAAGUCCUUGGGUAGACGCUCAUUGCGGAGAGCUGGCACUAAACAAGGGACACCUCCAGUCCUGGUAGGGAUACCCACGUCGACGGAAGUCGUCGGAUAAGCCGGGGGAGUCUGGUAAGCCAUCAACUGAGGCACCUGCUCCGCCUCUUGCCGCGCUCUGUCUUGGUCUGCUGCGUGAAAGGCUCUGUUAUGAGCCGGGCCAUGGCCAGGGGGCGGGUCAUGGCGCCGGACAUUACUUGAGCCGGUCGCUGAGACCAUGUGUCUGCUAUAACUCGGGCUCCGGCCUGGGCGAGGGGUCGAGUGGAUCCUGUCCCGGCUGUAAGAGUACGCCUCUUGCUGCGCCAGUGCUGUCUGAAGGAGUUCCCUGACCCGGCGGGUUUCAAUAGCCGUCGGAGAGUCGCCGUCAAUUGGGAGGGCCGCCAGCCGUGCUGCUGCGGCGACCAUGUUCUCCAGCGGGUUAGCAUAAUGACCCGGUGGUAUUGGCACGUACUGAGGCGGGGCAGGGUUCACCCGGGGAGGCCCCAUCACUUGUGGUUGAACAGGGGUCCCCGACACGGGCACUAUGAUCCCUGGCGGGUUACUAGACCCUGCACCUGGCGUGUUGAAGAGGUUUCGAGGAUCGUAAACCGGAGGGAGUCGAGAUUGGGCUUUUUGAUGCCUCCUUCUCAUGACCUCAUUGGACGCGUUUUGAUCCAUCGUGAGCCGGAAGGACUGCGCCUGAAUCAACUGGGUUUGGGCAUCGAGAGCCGCCCUCUCCGCAGCCAUCCUGAUCCGUUCCGCUGCCAGAUCCUCUUUGGCUUUCACUAGAUCUAACUUUAACUGCGCCACCUCCGCGUCAUGCUGAGCUUGAUCCGCCGAGUCAACCGCGGCGGUCAACAGGGCCGUCAUCUUGUCCGUGAGAUCCAUCAGCACCUGAGCCGGCGAGGGCACCGAGUUUCCUGCCCCAGCAGCAGGGUGCUGAACAGGCUGCGCACUGGCCAUGAAGAUUCCGACCCGGCUCGGCGGCUCAAACGGGUCCGGAAUACUGUCACCAUCGGAACAACCCAUUAGCCUGCCAUCUUGAAGCUGAUACAACGAGUUCGACUCAUCUGUGGAUGAUUCGCCGUCAGAGCCGGCGGUUGUCUCAUCACCAGAUCCAGAUCCACCAGAGAGCCCUCCAUGGACACAUUCCACGAAAGCAUGCUUCAAAGCAGGCAGGGCCCGGGCGGGUCGUGCGCGAUGAGCCGUCUCGAUGAGCUCGGCCCAGAGAUCCGGCUCAGGGCCCGGCUCACCAAUCUUGCCAAUGAAAACAUGAAUUCCGCCGAAGGGGACCCGGUAUCCGUACUCAAUUGAGCCGGCGUCGGGGCCCCAGCUUGCAUCGUCGAUGUAGAGCUUGCCGCGACGACUCUUGGUCAUCCGGCCCACAGCGUAUCCCUUGAGCCCUUCGAAGCUGCCCUUCAAGAACUCAAAUCCACCGUGCGCUGGCCCCACGGUGGGCGCCAACUGUCGUGGAAUUGUCACGGCAGAUGUCCUCAAGCUAGGACUUAGUCGUGGAGCCAUCGCCGCUAGGAAGCUUGAAGGGGUUAACGGGACAAGGAACACGAGGGUUUAUACUGGUUCGGCCCCUUACGAUGAAGGUAAAAUCCUACGUCCAGUUGAUGUGGUAUUGAUUAGGGUUUCGAUGACCAGGGAGCUUAACUGCUAUGCCUAGCUCUCGAUGAGAUCUUUCUUGUCCCUAAACCGCUGCCGGGUCGUCCCUUUAUAUAGAGAGGUUGACGCCCAGCGGCUCUCAGAGUCCCGGCCGGCUCAUAAAAGUGUCCGGCUUGGACUCUCAACUAUUCUUGCCUUACACUACAAGUCUCGCCAUACGGCGGUUUAUCACUACGGGCCUUAAGCCAUCCCCGGGUCUUAAGCCCAUCUUUGGCCCACCGUCUUCAGGCUUAGUGCCAGGCUUCAAGUGAUGACCCUUAUGAGUAACCUGGCCCCUUCUGGCGGGUGACUCUAAGGUUUAUAUCCUCAACACCAUGAGAUGAGAUUGGGUCCAAGGAAUAUAGCAAAACCACCUGUAGACCUUCUAUCAUCCGGACAAUCAGCCCAGUCAGAAUCAGAAAAAGCACUCACAAGUGUGGAUGAUGACUUGUUAAAAGUUAAGCCAAGAUUUAAAGUACUCUUCACAUAUCUAAGUAUGCAUUUGACAGCUGUCCAGUGUGAUGUUGUGGGUGCAUGAAGAAAUUGACAAACUUUGUUCACAGCAAAGGAAAUAUCUGGUCUAGUCAAAGUCAAGUACUGAAGUGCACCAACCAUACUUCUGUACCUUGUGCUAUCCUCUUGAUCCAAGAGUUCUCCUUCUGCAAGAGACAACUUUUCUGAACAGGAUAGUGGAGUUGGCGAUGGUUUACAAUUCUGCAGGCCAACUCUGCUCAAAAGAUCAGUUGCAUAUUUUUCCUGUGACAAGUGAAGUCCUCCUUCUUUGUUUCUUUUAACUUCUAUACCAAGAAAAUAAUGCAAAUCUCCUAAAUCUUUAAGAGCAAACUCUGAAUUCAAAUCCUUCAACAAGGCUGUCACGGCUUCAUUUGAUGAGCUUGUAACAAUGAUAUCAUCAACAUAGAUAAGCACAAAAACAGAUGUACGUGACUUAUUAUAGAUGAACAGUGAUGUAUCAGGCCUUGAAGGAACAAACCCAAGUGCUAGCAACUUUGAGCUCAAGCGUGAGUACCAAGCCCUGGGAGCCUGUUUCAGUCCAUACAGAGAUCUAUCCAGCCUGCAUACAUGAAAGGGUUUGUCUUUGUCCUCAAAACCAGGAGGUUGUUUCAUGUAAACUUCCUCUUUCAGAACACCAUGCAGAAACGCGUUCUACACAUCUAGCUGUCUAAGACUCCACCUCUGGAUACGGCAAUAGACAAAACAAGACGUAUAGUGGCAGCUUUAACAACAGGACUGAAUGUAUCUUCAUAGUCUAUACCAUACCUUUGCUUAAACCCCUUUGCAACUAGUCUGGCCUUGUAUCUAUCUAUAGUACCAUCUGACUUUUUCUUUAUUCUGAACACCCAUUUGCAAUCAAUCAAGUUUUUACCUUGCUGUGAAGGAACGAGGUGCCAUGUUUUAUUUUUCUGAAGCGCUUGAAAUUCUUCUUCCAUAGCCUUCAUCCACUCUGCAUCCUUGCAUGCUUCCUGAAAUGUACUAGGCUCUCCUGUAGAACAUGUUAAACCAUACUUAACUUUAUAAUUAACUGGCUGAAUGACACCUGCUCAUAGUCUGGUGUAUGGCUAUCUUUGUACGGGCUGGGCCACCACACCAGAACCAGGCGCAGAGGAUCCGGGAGAGACAGCUGUAGGGGAUCCCAUCAAUCCUGGCGCAGAUUCGCUGCUGUUAUCUGCGACCGGAUCUUCUGUGACCAUGCUGCCACGCGGUGAACAAGAGAGCGGCGCAGAAGAUCCCGUGGCUCCGGACUCCACGCCAGAUCCAUGUGCCUCCGUAUCAGGAUGGAGAUCAGCGCCAACGCCUGAUUGGUGGUCAGCGCGCCUGAUGUAGACGCGCAGUGUCGCGCCGAACCGGUUGGGUGCGGAUUGGCUAGGCGCACGUGCCGGAGACCCCUGCCGAGCCCUCGUGGCCGAGGCUGAUGCUGCUGGGUCUGCCGCCCCUGAUCCCGAGGCUGAUGUUGUCGGAUCUGACACGGCCGCGGAUCCCGACGCAGAUUUGGCAGCGUUGUCACGUAGCGGACACAUAAAAUGGAGUCCGUUCAGGACGUUUUCUGCACUCCUUUGCAUUGGAUUUGUUUCUGCUCCUCCCAGAUGAGAUCCUGCAGCAUCACAAGCCUCAUUUGCAUGGUUAGAAGCAUUAGUCAUAUGAUCAAUACAAUUGUCAUCCCCGUGCUGAGAACCGGUUAAAUGAGAAGGCAAAAGGAGAAUUUCUUUGGAAGCAAAGCACCGGCAUUAGGAUGAAGAUUUGCAAAAGGAAACACGGUCUCAUCAAAGACAACAUCACGGGAAAUAUAGACACGACCAGUAGAGACAUCUAGACAUUUAACUCCUUUGUGUUUGGCACUAUAACCAAGAAACACACAUUGUUUGGAUCUGAACAUAAGUUUGCGGUUGUUAUAGGGACGUAAAUUGGGCUAACAAGCGCAGCCAAACACACGAAGAGAGGUAUAAUCUGGUCUAGUAUUAAGCAGUCGGUGCAUGGGUGUAUCAUUUUGGAUGACUCGGCUAGGAAGCAUAUUGAUGAGAUGGACCGCGGUGAGGAAGGCCUCAUCCCAAAACUUGAGGGGCAUGGAAGCACCGGCAAGUAAGGCUAGCCCAACCUCAACUACAUGCCGGUGCUUGCGUUCAGCGGAGCCGUUUUGUUGGUGGGCGUGGGGGCAGGACACGUGAUGUGAGAUGCCCAAGGUUUGGAAAAACUAAUCUAGUUUCUCGUACUCGCCGCCCCAAUCGGAUUGGACGGCAAGGAUUUUGCUAUCAAAUUGACGUUCAACAAGCGCUUGAAAAUGUUGGAAGACUUGGAAAACUUCAGAGCGUUUUUUAAGAAGAUAGAUCCAAGUAUACUUACUAAAAUCGUCUAUGAAACUAACAUAGUAAGUAUGGCGACCAACAGACAUAGGGGCAGGACCCCACACAUCAGAGAAAACAAGUUGCAAAGGUCUAGUAGAAAUACUAGUUGAAACUGGAUAGGGCAACUAAUGCGACUUUGCUUUUUGACAGGAAUCACAUAUAGUUUCAAAAUUAUGCUCACCAACACAUGGGAGUUUAUUAUUUCUAAGCACUUGUUGAACAACGAUAAAAGAUGGAUGUCCUAAUCUUGCAUGCCACCGCUCGGGAGAGAGUCUUAUGACACCACAGACUUGUUUAUUGAAGCUUCUAAAUUGGGGAAUCAAUGGAUACAGCCCAUGCACGCAUCUACCUCGAUAGAGAAUGUUCCUCGUGACCUGAUCUCGGAUCAAAAAGAAAUAAGGAUGAAAUUCAAGAAACACGUUGUUAUCAAUGGCAAUACGGUGAACAGAAAGAAGAUUUUUGGCUGUUUCUGGAACAUGCAAGAUAUUUCUAAGAUGAAUAUUGCCAUGAGGGGUUUUGACAAUUGCAUGACCAAUAUGAUCAAUGUUCAUACCUUCACCGUUGGCAUUGUGGACUUGAUCAUGGCCAUGAUACUUCUCGCUCAUUGUCACCUUCUCAAGCUCGUUGGUGAUGUGAUUUGUGGCACCGGAGUCGACAUACCAGUUGGUGUCAACCCCAUAUGAUGUGUCUGCAGCCGCUGCAACCUUUUUUCUGGAGUUGUUCUCAGCAUAACGCCAAUCACAGUCCUGUGCAAUAUGAUUAUUUUUCUUGCAAAUCUGACAUUUAUUUUCAUACUCCUCAUAACCUUGGAAGGGGCGCCCCCUAUUGUUGUUGUAGUAGGGACGCCUGUUAUUGCCGCCGCCGUUCUGGUAGUGGUCACUGCCACCACCGCCGCCGCUGGAGUUGUUGGUGUUGUAGUGGCCGCUGCCACCACCGUUGUUGGAGUUGUUGUAGGAUCUGUUGUUGUUGUUGUAGGAGCCGCCGCCGCUGCUGCCACCGCCGCGGGAGCCACCGCCACCACCACCCCUGUUAGGGUUGCGGUAGCCUUGAUAGCCUCUGGAGUUGUUGCCGCGACCUCAAGCUGCAACAUUGGCGGAGGAUUUGAAGGCACCUGCCCCUGUCCCGUGGAACAUCUCAACGCGUUGGUCAAAAUUUGCAACCAUGCCGAAGAGGUCAUCCACCGAGAGGGGUUCGGUGCGUACGUCCAGCGCUGAGAUCAGCGGCUGAUAGUCCAUGUCGAGCCCUGCAAUGAUAAAGGAAAGAAGUUCUCCUUCUCCGAUGGGUUUCCCAGCCGCAGCUAGUUCAUCAGAGAGGGCCCUCAUCUGACCAAAAUAGGUUGUGGCACUCUGUGAACCUUUAUGAGCAUUGGAUAGGGCUAUGCGGCAGUUGUUUACACGGGAGAGAGAUUGUGCGGUGAACAUCUUUGCUAGGGCUGACCAUAUGGCGUGGGAAGUUUCUAAAGAAGCAACCUGGAUGAGUACCUCCUUUGAGAGAUUUCGAAGGAGAAAGGCUACAAUCUGCUGAUCUUGAAUCAGCCAUGGGUUAUAGGCAGGGUUUGGAACAAUCUGCUCGUUUCCUUCUGAGUUUUUGGUGAUGAUUGUUUUGGCUGGCUCGGGUGUGGUUUGAUCUAGGUACCCAUAUAGUCCGGCACCCAUGAUUUGGGAGCGAACUUGGGCUUUCCAUAGGAUGUAGUUGGUUCUUGUGAGAGGCUCGGAUGUGGUACUGGACAGGCCUAUGGAUGGAACUUGGGUGGAGGAAGACAUGGUUUGGUUUGGUGGAGAGGAUGAUCAGGAGAUGCGGCAGGGAGGAAGAUAGAUGCUAGAUGUGGCGGAAGAGGGAGGCUCUGAUUACCAUGUGAAAUAUUGUGGAAGCGUCUCAAUGCCCAUACACGAGCACCCGCAUGAUUUAUAUUGAUAUGAUUGUUUGGGUUACAAGUCAAGGUUGUUGGGAAACAACCGCAAGAGAUAUACAGGAGGUUUAAGAUAGAGAUAAGAAAGAUCUAAACUAAUCUCUAGUUACAAUAACAGCCAAUACAUAUGGCGCAUAACCUCCUGAACAUAUAUUCUUAACAUGCAGAACCUGAAUGGCUUUUUUCAGCUGCACAACACACAACAGUAUGACCCAAGAGAGGCAUGAGGUAGCGCACCUUUGCGGCCGAAAAUGAUAGAUG
rnacentral:lncRNA from 1 species